GAGGCUGUUACAUGUGUUGAGAGCUUUCUGCUUUUGGGUGUCUCUUGGAAACUCUGAGAGGUGGGUAGGAUGGUGUAUUACUCUGGGUCCUCUGAGAAGCAGAUACCAAGGUGGAAUGAAAAGUACAAGGGUUUUAUGAGGGUAAACGUCUGUGAGAGAAAAUGGGAAGGAAGCUGGGGAGGCUGGGAGAGUUGUCAGUUCAUGAUUUAAAUCAGACUCUGAGUGGAGGAGAGAGGGGAGCAUGGUUGGGGAGAAACGUUCCUGACCAUGCUGCAGUCUAAGGAAGGUUCGGCAGGGCCAUCAGAGUCCUUGAGCCAAAGAAGGCAACCAGAAGAGUCCCACGUCUCCUAGGAUUGGGUCUGCCUUACUGAGUACAUCCCUGCUCAGGAACUGGCUAGAAGGAGUUUGAGGGAAAUCAAGCCUCAGCAUAAACAUGGUGAUGGAUUUCACCCUGCCCUUGGUCAGUUUUUCUUUCUGUUAUUGGAGGUCUGUGGGACACAUUCUUAGAAUCACCAUAGAUGCCAUUGUCACUCGCAUUUUACAGAGCGGGCAGAAUUCCAGAAAAAUUCCAGGGUCUGCCUGAACUCACAAAGCAGGAUGAAAAUCCAUCUUUUGAUUCUCUUUCAAGCUUGUUACGUGAUAUAGAUCCUAAAUCCAGAGGUGGAGUUUGAAGGAUUCUUAGGGCAUUUGGAUGUAACAUCCCAGAGAUAGGAGGACUUUUUGGAAGAACAUUUUGUAAACAGUAAAGGGUUGUGCAAAGAUAGGGGAAAUGCCAUUGUGAGGAUGAC